CCGCAGCGGAAAGCUCAGUAACACGUGGCCAAACUACCCUGUGGAUGGGAACAAUCUCGGGAAACUGAGGCUAAUUCCCAAUAACGCUCCGCCCCUGGAACGGACGGAGCUGGAAACGCUACGGCGCCACAGGAUGUGGCUGCGGUCGAUUAGGUAGACGGUGGGGUAACGGCCCACCGUGCCAAUAAUCGGUACGGGUUGUGAGAGCAAGAGCCCGGAGACGGAAUCUGAGACAAGAUUCCGGGCCCUACGGGGCGCAGCAGGCGCGAAACCUUUACACUGUACGCAAGUGCGAUAAGGGGACUCCGAGUGUGAAGGCAUAGAGCCUUCACUUUUGUACACCGUAAGGUGGUGUACGAAUAAGGGCUGGGCAAGACCGGUGCCAGCCGCCGCGGUAAUACCGGCAGCCCGAGUGAUGGCCGAUAUUAUUGGGCCUAAAGCGUCCGUAGCUGGCCGGACAAGUCCGUUGGGAAAUCUGUUCGCUUAACGAGCAGGCGUCCAGCGGAAACUGUUCGGCUUGGGACCGGAAGACCUGAGGGGUACGUCCGGGGUAGGAGUGAAAUCCUGUAAUCCUGGACGGACCACCGGUGGCGAAAGCGCCUCAGGAGGACGGAUCCGACAGUGAGGGACGAAAGCUAGGGUCUCGAACCGGAUUAGAUACCCGGGUAGUCCUAGCUGUAAACGAUGCCCGCUAGGUGUGGCGCAGGCUACGAGCCUGCGCUGUGCCGUAGGGAAGCCGAGAAGCG
rnacentral:rRNA from 1 species